rnacentral:piRNA from 1 species
UGAGCUGUCACGAGAUCCUGUUAUGAUGG